CCUACGGGAUGCAGCAGUGGGGAAUAUUGCACAAUGGGGGAAACCCUGAUGCAGCGACGCCGCGUGAAGGAAGAAGUAUUUCGGUAUGUAAACUUCUAUCAGCAGGGAAGAAAAUGACGGUACCUGACUAAGAAGCCCCGGCUAACUACGUGCCAGCAGCCGCGGUAAUACGUAGGGGGCAAGCGUUAUCCGGAUUUACUGGGUGUAAAGGGAGCGUAGGCGGUUUAGCAAGUCAGAAGUGAAAGCCCGGGGCUCAACUCCGGGACUGCUUUUGAAACUGUUGAACUAGAGUGCAGGAGAGGUAAGUGGAAUUCCUAGUGUAGCGGUGAAAUGCGUAGAUAUUAGGAGGAACACCAGUGGCGAAGGCGGCUUACUGGACUGUAAAUGACGCUGAGGCUCGAAAGCGUGGGGAGCAAACAGGAUUAGAUACCCCUGUAGUC
rnacentral:rRNA from 1 species